UGCGAUCGUUGUUUUGGUUGUUGGCUUGCGUGGUUACGCGUCUGCGGUGUCCUUUAAGUGGAUCCUCAGCCAUCCGUAAUCGAUGAUUUCGUUUUCGGAUAGGACGAUCCAUCGAUCGUUGAUUUCGUUUUCGGAUUGGAUUAUCUGUUUCCGAUAGGUGGUGCAUCCAAAUCCUCAGCCAUCCCUUAAUCGUUGAUUUCGUUUUCGGAUUGGAUGAUCUGUUUCCGAUACUUGAAACUGAUCUACUUUCCAUGCGGGGUGUAUCAAAAGCCUUGAAACUGAUCUGUUUGGAUGAUCGUUUUCGGAUUGGAUGAUCUGUUUUCGGAUAGAGGGCUUCACAAUUUUGCCGGAUUAAGGCUAUUUGCGACCGAUUUUAUAUGUACUUUCGAAGCGGUAGGUGAGGCUUUGGUGUUUGUGUGGGUAUUAUCUUAAUGGAACCCUCGCGGAGUCUGUGAGGCAAUUUGUGAAGGUUGCUCUGGUUUUCCGAAAUGAUCUGAACAAGGGAUGUGUUCUUUUUGAUCUGGUUUAGUUGGCCUUCGUUACUUUCAACUUUUAUUUGUUGCAUUUAUGUCCACCAGUUGGUUAUGUUUGUUUGUUUUUAUUUUUUGUGUGCAAGGGAAAGCUUCUGGAUAUGAUAUUUGAAAUAGAGAUGUGUGUGUUUUGCUACCAUGCUAUGAUAUUUGGUUUGAGAUAUACGCUAACGGUAUCUGCAUCAAUGCUGUGUCUUUUGGAUACUCUAGUUGGAUUUAGACGGGUAUCAGGGAAGAGUUCCAUCAACUUCUCAUUUUUUGAGGGUUUUUGUGGGCAGUUGCCGAAGCAUCAUCGUUAGGCAUGAUUCUAUUAAAUAGAGAUGAUUCUAUAUGUGUCAUCGACGCUGUUGGUGGGGCUCUGGUGUUUUUGUGAUUAUUAUCUGUAUGGAGCCACACGUAGCUGUGAUGCAGUUUGUAAAGGAUGCUCCAAUUAAGGAUGCUCUGGUUUUUGUUGAAUGAUUUAAAUAGGUUUUCCAUUAGAUAGUGUUAUAUUUAAGGGGUUUCAUUGUUGUGACAUACGUUGCUUAUUAUGAUGGAUCCAGGGCUUCCGAAAUUAUCUGAACAGUGGAUAUGUCCGGUUUGUGCUGGUUUAGUCAGCCCUUGUUACUUUCAAACAUUAAUUGUUGCCCUUACGUGCACAAGUUGGUCAUUUGAUACGGUUCUCAUCAAAGUAUGGUUGUUUGUUUUUAUUUGUUGUCUGCUAGGGGAAGCUGAUGGACAUCUAGUUUUGCAUGGGCAUGGGACAUUUCUUUGAAAGUGAGAUGAUUUAAAUUGGGUAUAUGGAAGGUUAUUUUGUUUGCCUAUUUGGUUUAUUACAUCCAGUUGUAUUCUUGGCUGCUCUUUCCAGAUGAAAUUUGGAUUUUCUGUCCUGGUUUUCUACAAUUAGUUAUGACGUUUGGUAGCAGGAUUUUAUUUUGGAGUUAAUACAUUUCUAAAUUGGGUUAAUUACAUCCUUUGGUGUUCUUGGCUGGUUGUAUUAGAGGAAGUCAGAUAAUUUUGUUGAAUAACUUGAAUUCUGUGGUCAUUAUUUCCAUUGGCGUCAUUGCUGUUCAUUUAUUGCCAAAAUGCAGUCCAACAGUGCAAAGUUGUUACAUUUGAAAGGUCAUUAUUUUCACCGACUUUUUGAUCCUUUGGCUUAUAAAAGUUCUCUGCUGCGUUUCUCUUCCUUUUAAUUAACUUCCAUUUCUCUUUUGAAUCAUGUUUCCUUUAUCUUGUGUGGAAGCUAGGACGUGGUAAUGAUUUUACGUACAGGUACCUGUGCUAUUAAGGUGUCUUUGUUGGUGAUCUUGGGUUAUGAUAAUUGUACUUGAUUGUUAUAUCGAUAAGGUGUCUUUGUUGGUGAUCUUGGGUUAUGAUAAUUGUACUUGAUUGUUAUAUCGAUUUUUGAAUCAAUUCAAUGGCACAAUUGAUGGCUUCAAAAACAAGUGGGUUUUAAGAUACAUUGUUACUUUUUUCUUGUAUCAAGUUGGAGGGAGGUACAGACAUGCUGUGUUCUCUUGUUUUUCCUUGAAAUUCAUUUUAUAUUGCUGAUUUUUAUGAGAAGUUAUCUUCUCAGGCUGAUGUACUUUUUGCUGCUCAUUUUAUGUGAUGUUUGUCUACUUGAAGCUUGUUUUGGGAGCUGGGUUUCAUGUUAAGAAAGUUGGGUUUCUCUUCAGUAUGGAGCCUUCAUAUUGUAAACAAAGGAGUCCAAUUUUCAUCAAGGAAUAUUCUUGUGGGAACCCAAUUGCUAAUUGAAUAUAUUUCCUUUAUGAAGAUUCUUCAACCAUAGCUGAUACAAACAAGUUUACAAGAUUGUUGUUUUGGUUUGCAUGAUGAAGAGAAUAGAAGUUCUACCUGUACUCCUGGUGAUGUGAACAAUGUAGUUGGAACAUCUACGGAAAGCCUAGCAUGAUUAAACAGAAAUUCAUGGGAAAGAUUUUAUUGGCUUUAACUGGUUUUCCCAGGAUUAACAUUAGAUUGAAAAGCUUGGAACUGACAUUUGAAUUGAUCCACUAGUACCUGUUGCUAUUCCCCAUGAUAUUUGCAAGUUUUGGUUCGAUUUUGUUCU